UCGACAGCCUGAUUAUUACAACCACCAUCACCGGUACAAUUGGUAGCGGGGCGGGCUGACGCUUAAACAAAAUAAAAAAGCCCGCACCGUAAAUCGAGUGCGGGUUUUUUUUUG
rfam:Pragia fontium strain 24613, complete genome.